rnacentral:rRNA from 1 species
AAUGGGGGAAACCCUGAUCCAGCAAUGCCGCGUGAGUGAAGAAGGCCUUCGGGUUGUAAAGCUCUUUCAGUUGAGAAGAAAAGAUUGUGACUAAUAAUCAUAAUUAAUGACGGUAUCAACAGAAGAAGCACCGGCUAACUACGUGCCAGCAGCCGCGGUAAUACGUAGGGUGCGAGCGUUAAUCGGAAUUACUGGGCGUAAAGGGUGCGCAGGCGGUUAUGUAAGUCAGAUGUGAAAUCCCCGGGCUUAACCUGGGAAUUGCGUUUGAAACUACAUGACUAGAGUGUAACAGAGGGAAGUGGAAUUCCAUGUGUAGCAGUGAAAUGCGUAGAGAUAUGGAGGAACAUCGAUGGCGAAGGCAGCUUCCUGGGUUAACACUGACGCUCAUGCACGAAAGCGUGGGGAGCAAA